GCGUAGGAAGCUGCCCGAUAGAGGGGGAUACCAGUUGGAAACGACUGUUAAUACCGCAUAAUGUCUACGGACCAAAGUGUGGGACCUUCGGGCCACAUGCUAUCGGAUGCGCCUACGUGGGAUUAGCUAGUUGGUGAGGUAAUGGCUCACCAAGGCGACGAUCUCUAGCUGGUUUGAGAGGAUGAUCAGCCACACUGGAACUGAGACACGGUCCAGACUCCUACGGGAGGCAGCAGUGGGGAAUA
rnacentral:rRNA from 1 species